CAUCAGAGCAGUGGCUGAUACAACCUCCUUAGUAUCUGUUGCCUGAAUACACAGGAAGAAGUUCUAGUGUCAAGGGAAUUCUGGGAUUGAAUCAAACUUACAAACCAUGAAAUGAAAUAACCCAAAACUUGGAUUUAGCUAGGUUACACUGCAGGCCUGUAACUAGGACUUCUCAGAAGUAGUGAAUACUUUGGACAAGGAAUGCAAAUCUC